UCUCUAUAAAAGUCCGUUUUUAAAAAUUAAAUUAUGUGCUUUUAGGAUGAUUUAUAUGAAGAUAAUUAUCAGCAAUGUUGUAAUAUUGGGUUAUUGUUGGUGACGGUGGAUCAGUCAGCUGUGUGGAGCAUUACGUCACCCCAGGAAAGUAGUAAGAGCCAGAGAUGGUUCUUGAACAUGUUAUUUACACAUUUUGGAACUGUUUGAAGGAUCGACCUCCCAGGUCACUUGAGGGGGAUGACUCAUCAACCUACAGCUACUCUUCCUCUCAAGGAUUUUGAGGUACACCUACAAUGCCUCUUGGGCAUCCUGUGGCCCGGUUGGCAAUGCACUCGCCUCACACACUGAGUCUCCGUGGUUCAGUCCCUGGCAUGGGUGGAAAUGCUGGCCGUGUUUCCUUACACCUGCUCUCCCUUCACCUAGCAAUACUUAGUGCACCUACACAACAGACAGUGGAAACCACAAAAACCUUAAGGGUACUGUGCAUGAAAAACGAGACUUUUCGAACAGACAAGACCCCAGUACUUUAAACAUGAAAAUUUAUAGUGUGCAACAAUAUUUCAUGUCCUAAGAAGUUAUAUGGAUGUUAGUGUAUAAUGUAAUUGAGCUAGUCACUUGUGACAAAGUACGUCUGUACACUGUUGGCAGCAACAGCCUGGAUGACCAAGACGACUGCAACUGUAGAAUUCUGUACACAAAUCACAGGCAUAAACUUUGCUGGGAGAAGUGUUUAUUUAUAUACAGCAAAAAAUGCCAAAGACUGUAAGGAAUGCUAAAAUAAUAGCGCGGUACUGACUUUAAUAAACUAUAAUUAUGAUGUUUGCCUUGGUGGGUGGUGGCUAUCGAGUUAAAAAAAAAUAUUAAAAGCAUUGCGUAGUGCUGUACCAGUAGGGCGUCAUACAGUUCUUGGGGGUAUAGCAGGUACAGUAAUCAGGUUUGAUCAGAGGAUGAGGAUGAUAGCUCCAUUCCCUGAAUCAAGAUCCCUUUAUUAGCAUAAAGGUGCACCCUCCUACAAUCUAAAGAAAGUGUUUGUAAAAUUAAUUUUUAUUAUUUCAUGUACAAAGUUGCAAGAAUUAAUUUUUACAAAAUGUUACGCUUAUUCUUUUUCACAUAUACUGUGCUUUUAAUUAAUUUUUCAUACUGUACUAUUAAAAUUACAUAAUGUCAAUUUGAUAUUAAUGUACAUAGUUGGAAAUGACAUUGUGCAGUUUUUAAAAAUCAAGCUUCUAAUUUUCCUUAAUACAGGCACUUGAGCUUUUUAAUGGUAGACUCAUACCUCAGAUAGUUUCUUCAUGUAAGUGUUUAUUAUGAAAUUAACAUUAAAAAUUAAAAAAAAAAAAUAAAAA